GACGUAGGGCGCAAGCGUUGUCCGGAUUUAUUGGGCGUAAAGAGCUCGUAGGCGGCCUGUCGCGUCGACCGUGAAAACCCGCAGCUCAACUGCGGGCUUGCGGUCGAUACGGGCAGGCUGGAGUUCGGUAGGGGAGACUGGAAUUCCUGGUGUAGCGGUGAAAUGCGCAGAUAUCAGGAGGAACACCGGUGGCGAAGGCGGGUCACUGGGCCGCAACUGACGCUGAGGAGCGAAAGCAUGGGGAGCGAACAGG
rnacentral:rRNA from 1 species